rnacentral:misc_RNA from 1 species
CCCAGCGGCUGGGGAAAAGCAACCCUAAGCACGUGCUGCGGCAACGCCGGCGCAGCCACCUGAGCACGGCCCGCGUCCCACAUUCAGCCCGCCACCCGCCCCGCUGGACGCGCCACGGUCGCCCCGAUGGCGCCGGCCGCCACCCGGGCCAUCUGCCUCGGGGUGGCCCAGGGCCCCCAACCAGUAGGCAGCGCGAAGGCCGGGUUGGGCACGCACGGGUCGCGCCGACACUUUAACACGCAUAUGGAUGGCACACACGCGUGCCCUGUCGCAGGCCGCCCCGACGCCACGUCAUCCAGGACCGGGCCGCCGGCGUCAGUAGCCACGAAUCGCUCUCACCCCCCCCACCCCACGUCGUAGGGUACCUGGCCCUGGCGCCACCAAAAAGUGGUUCGGCGCCGGUGGGGUGUGGGGCUGCUGGGCUCCCCCACGCGGCGGGUGCUGGGCCCCAUUAUAUCACCAGCAUGCGGCCCCCCCCCUCCAAGUAAGGUUUGCGGAUUUUUGUUGGCAAAUGGAGUGGGGGACUUUUAUGGGGCUUCACGCCUGUGGCGCUGUGGAAGUAGCGAAGGGAGAUAUGAAUAUUGUCCGCAUGCUGAUUUGGCUUCUCUAGAAGUCCCGAAUUGUUGUUGGUGCGUUUUGGCAGUGCAUGCAGGGUAUGACCCACGAGGUAACUGAAUGGGCUGCAUCGGACACAAGUGGCGAGCGACGUUGAUAGGAAAAUCGAAGGAGCAAUGGAAUGAAGAAGAUAGCUGUUUCCAGAGAAGAAUGAAUUUUUAGUUGCCUAUUAUGAUGGCUUGAGCUAUGCACGUUCAAUUCAGAAUAUGUGAGUGAAGGAACUGUGAGUCGAUUGUCGCUCACUAUUGAGGAAAGGACUGUGGGGCGAUCUGGGUAAAACACUAAUGACACAGGUUCUUGUGCCUCUGUUUCUUUUAUAUUCAAGCAAACACAGAAGAUUAAGCAUUUACUGACGCCUUUCUCCUGUGUUUUCUUAACUCUGACGCAUAUCUUUCAUUCACUUACAUAUACUAG